rnacentral:rRNA from 1 species
AGUGAACGCUGGCGGUAGGCCUAACACAUGCAAGUCGAACGGCAGCACAGCAAGAGCUUGCUCUUACGGGUGGCGAGUGGCGGACGGGUGAGGAAUACAUCGGAAUCUACUUUUUCGUGGGGGAUAACGUAGGGAAGCUUACGCUAAUACCGCAUACGACCUACGGGUGAAAGCAGGGGAUCUUCGGACCUUGCGCGAUUGAAUGAGCCGAUGUCGGAUUAGCUAGUUGGCGGGGUAAAGGCCCACCAAGGCGACGAUCCGUAGCUGGUCUGAGAGGAUGAUCAGCCACACUGGAACUGAGACACGGUCCAGACUCCUACGGGAGGCAGCAGUGGGGAAUAUUGGACAAUGGGCGCAAGCCUGAUCCAGCCAUACCGCGUGGGUGAAGAAGGCCUUCGGGUUGUAAAGCCCUUUUGUUGGGAAAGAAAAGCAGCAGGUUAAUACCCCGCUGUUCUGACGGUACCCAAAGAAUAAGCACCGGCUAACUUCGUG